GUUUCUUUGGGAUUUUUAGAAUGCAUUUAACUACAGUUCAGACACUAUCGUAGCAGAUUUAGUUAACAGGUAGGAAUAAUUUGUUGUUGCAUUGGAGUCUCAUGAACUUUUCCGUUAAGCUGUGUCUCUUGGAUACUGAUGCUAAAGGUUCCAUAAAAACGUCAGCAAAAGCUGAACAGCAAGUGUGUUUGUGAAGUGUGACAAUCAUGUUCCUAGAACGGUUCCGAUUGGCCAUUUGAUAAGUUUGGUUGACACGACGGGAAGGUCCAUCGUGUGGUCCAUGGAUAUAUAUUGUUGAUUUUACUUGUGAUUAUAUUAAAAGCCUACUAUCUUAUUGUAAAAAAUUAUUGCCGAAAUGACAAAUAAAGCUAAAUUUCGAAA